CGUCACAAGGUAGCUGUAGGUGAACGUGCUGGUGGAUCAUUA
rnacentral:rRNA from 1 species